AUUGAACGCUGGCGGCAUGCCUUACACAUGCAAGUCGAACGGCAGCACGGGUGCUUGCACCUGGUGGCGAGUGGCGAACGGGUGAGUAAUACAUCGGAACAUGUCCUGUAGUGGGGGAUAGCCCGGCGAAAGCCGGAUUAAUACCGCAUACGAUCUACGGAAGAAAGCGGGGGCCCUUCGGGCCUCGCGCUGUAGGGUUGGCCGAUGGCUGAUUAGCUAGUUGGUGGGGUAAAGGCCUACCAAGGCGACGAUCAGUAGCUGGUCUGAGAGGACGACCAGCCACACUGGGACUGAGACACGGCCCAGACUCCUACGGGAGGCAGCAGUGGGGAAUUUUGGACAAUGGGCGAAAGCCUGAUCCAGCAAUGCCGCGUGUGUGAAGAAGGCCUUCGGGUUGUAAAGCACUUUUGUCCGGAAAGAAAUCCUUGGCCCUAAUACGGUCGGGGGAUGACGGUACCGGAAGAAUAAGCACCGGCUAACUACGUG
rnacentral:rRNA from 1 species